rnacentral:rRNA from 1 species
UAAGAAGAGAGAAUGCCGGAAUGAGUAGCGAGAUGGAGGUGGGAAUCCUCCAGGCCGAAUAUCCAAGGUUUCCAGAGUAAAGCUGAUCUGCUCUGGGUAAGUCGGGGCCUAAGGCGAGGCUGAGAGGCGUAGUCGAUGGACAACAGGUUGAAAUUCCUGUACCAUGUAUCAUCAGAACUGUGGGGACACAGAAGGACAACACAUCCCGGGAAUGGGAAUACCGGGGCAAGCGAGGUAGGAGUACGGUUGGCAAAUCCGCCGUGCAAUCCGAAGACGUGACGCGCAGCGAACUAAAGUAGCGAAGUGUGUGAUUCCGGCUGUCAAGAAAAGCCGCUAUUGUGUGAUACAUGCCCGUACCGUAAACCGACACAGGUAGAUGAGGAGAGAAUCCUAAGGCCGGCGGGAGAAGCAUUGUUAAGGAACUCGGCAAAAUGACCCCGUAACUUCGGGAGAAGGGGUGCCACAGAGAUGUGGCCGCAGAGAAUAGGCUCAAGCAACUGUUUAGCAAAAACACAGGUCUAUGCAAAACCGUAAGGUGAGGUAUAUGGGCUGACGCCUGCCCGGUGCUGGAAGGUUAAGAGGAGAGGUUAGCGCAAGCGAAGCUUUGAAUUUAAGCCCCAGUAAACGGCGGCCGUAACUAUAACGGUCCUAAGGUAGCGAAAUUCCUUGUCGGGUAAGUUCCGACCCGCACGAAAGGCGUAAUGAUUUGAGCGCUGUCUCAACAAUGCACCCGGUGAAAUUGAAAUACCAGUGAAGAUGCUGGUUACCUGCGCCAGGACGGAAAGACCCCAUGGAGCUUUACUCCAGUUUGAUACUGGGAUUCGGUAUUGCAUGUACAGGAUAGGUGGGAGGCUUUGAAACAUGGACGCCAGUCUGUGUGGAGCCAAUGUUGGGAUACCACCCUUGCGAUAUUGGGUUUCUAACCUGCGCCCGUGACCCGGGCGGGGGACAAUGUCAGGCGGGGAGUUUGACUGGGGCGGUCGCCUCCGAAAGGGUAUCGGAGGCGCUCAAAGGUUCCCUCAGGAUGGUUGGAAACCAUCCAAAGAGUGCAAAGGCAUAAGGGAGCUUGACUGCGAGACUGACGGGUCGAGCAGGUACGAAAGUAGGACUUAGUGAUCCGGUGGUAUAAAGUGGGAUUGCCAUCGCUCAACGGAUAAAAGCUACCCUGGGGAUAACAGGCUUAUCACUCCCAAGAGUUCACAUCGACGGAGUGGUUUGGCACCUCGAUGUCGGCUCAUCGCAUCCUGGGGCUGUAGCAGGUCCCAAGGGUUGGGCUGUUCGCCCAUUAAAGCGGUACGCGAGCUGGGUUCAGAACGUCGUGAGACAGUUCGGUCCCUAUCCGGCGCGGGCGUAGGAUAUCUGAGAGGAGCUGUCCUUAGUACGAGAGGACCGGGAUGGACAGACCGCUGGUGUACCUGUUGGCCUACCAAGGCCAUGGCAGGGUAGCCAAGUCUGGACGGGAUAAACGCUGAAGGCAUCUAAGCGUGAAGCCCCCCUCAAGAUGAGAUAUCCCAUCGCGAAAGCGAGUAAGACCCCUUGAAGACGACGAGGUAGAUAGGUUAGAGGUGGAAGUGCAGUAAUGUACGGAGCUGACUAAUACUAAUCGGUCGAGGGCUUAUCCA